CCUGCAGGGAUGGGGCAUCCACAGCCUCCUUGGGCAACCUGUUCGAGAGUUACGUUAGAUAAGCAAGUUUUCCCAGAAGUAUAUUACGUAUACAGUGACCGAUGGUAAGCAGGAGCUCCAGUUUCCUCAUUACAAGAACUCAGCAGAACUUCCUUAUCUCCUUGGUUCAGGCACGGCUCUUUCUGUUAUCUAAACAAAUUGCAGGGCAGGGGUAUCCAUCAGCAAACACUAGUAAGCUUAACUAUAUUGUUGUAUCAUGAUAAAGCAGAACAGGCUUACAACAUGCCUCCACAUCUGUAAUGCUACAGCACAAUUAUCUACAUCGCAGUUAUGUACAUCACAGUGCUACACAAUUAUACAGUGGGCUCAAUUACAACAUCUAAAGGCUACUAAGGUGUUGCAAGCAACCAUUACUCAUGCAACAAUUCAGCAGCUAUGCUUUUAAGGAUGUAUUAACUGAAUAUUUUGUGUAAUUACUUCUUCAAUUCAAAAUCUUUGUUUUUGGCUCUCUCCCAGAGCUAAUUAGAAGGUGUAAUGAACUUUGGUUUGAGUUACUUUCCGAGAUGCUUAAUUUAUCACUCCUGGCACUGCAGCUGGAAGUCAUGGGGAACCUGAGGUACGAUGUGUUCAGAUCAGAGAGUGUUUGAAGGUCUCAACCUGAUGGUUUCUUUGUUUGAAGUGGGCUUCAGAACCAUGUUGGAAACUCAGUGUUGCAGCAAUGUAUGGCACAGUUUUAAUGAGAAUGCCUCACAGAUUGAGAGCAGGCCAGCUACAGCAAGAGGGGGCAAGCUCCAGGCUGGAGCUUUAGCAAGGAGCAGCCUCCAGGCUGAAUGCAAAUGCAUAGAAAAUCCCAGAAGAAGCCUGAAAUGGUACAAAAUUACAGUAAUCAAAUAAAAAGCAAGCUGGGGUAUCCCCACUGCAUUCUGCACUGGAGGUGGACUGUGGAUAUGCAGAGCUCUAUGGGAAAAACAGUCUUCCUCCCAUGGAGAUUUAUCUGAAGGUGCAAAGCUAGAACUGGAGACACUUGGGCUGCAUUCUCCAUGUUGCCUCUUCAAGAGUCAGGGUCUUUGGAUUUAUUUGCAUGAAGAACAGUGUGUGCUGAACAAGGAAAAUGGGCAUUUUCCACAACAUCUAAAAUCCGUGUCUCAAAUGUGUAAGCUAAUCUCCUGUAUAUUUAAAGUGCUCAGCAAUGAUUUAAGAGGGCAGCAAUUACUUGACACAUCUCUGAAGGCUAAAUGGAGUAAUGUGCUGGUGUUUAAAGUCUGAUCCAAAGCUCAUCAUCUCAUGCAAAGAGCAGGAAACCUUGUUCUGAAGGUUGCCAGCUGCAGAAGGAGCCUCAGGACCAGUUAAAGCUGCAGGCUGUAACCUAUAUUCAUCUAACCACUGGCUGUUGGUGCGAGGAUGUGGAGCUGACACAGGAAGACGGCUGGAUUGCUGUUCCUGCGAUGUGUUGUAGAGAAAAUAUGCUUCAGUAGCAAAGAAAGCAAGUGGAACUCUUGGCUGGAAGUUCUUCAGAAGUCAGAAAAUCUAUUCUGGUCUUGGUAUUUUUCAGAUAACUGGAAGAUUUUUGUUUGGCUUGAGAGAAUCACAUAUUUUGUGUGUUUGCUCAGUCAGUGUCUGGCUCCUUGGGAGUCACUCAAGGCAGAUGUUUCAAGCAGAGACAAAAACAACUACGAAGACCUGAGUGUCAGGAUAGGUUGCCCCUGCUCUGCAUUCCGCAGAGGAAGGUCAAACACACAGCAUUAAACCAAAGAGCACAAAAACUCUUAAGGGUUUAACGGUUGCCUGAGAUGUCUGGGGGAUUUAUCUCUGUUGGUUUCUGCAAGAAUGUUAACACUUUUACUUGUCAAGUUUACCUGCCUCACUGAGAGCUGUGCUGGAACUUAUUAAUUAGUCUUUUGCAAAGUGCUUUGAGGUUUUCAGAUGAAAGG
rnacentral:lncRNA from 7 species